rnacentral:tRNA from 1 species
GGAGAGAUACCCAAGUGGUUAAGGGGGCAGUUUGCUAAACUGCUAGUACGGGGUUAAUCCCCGUAGCGAGGGUUCGAAUCCCUCUCUCUCCGCCA